rnacentral:ncRNA from 1 species
AUUCCCCUCACCCACCUGGGCGAGGUGGGCCGAGCCGACGGCCAGUACGGCGACUUCUGGUCGCCGUACUGGCCGAGUUACGCGUGUUCCGUUUGGGAAGGUGUUGCUCCAGCGGGGGUCCGUUGUUGGCCGUCCCACUGAGCCUCAGCCCAUGGACGGCGUGAGAUCGUCUCUUGGGUUAUUUGGAAAACAGCCGAAAGUGGGUGGUCAACUCCAUCCGAGGCUAAAUACUGACACGGGACUGAUCAAAAAGUACCUUUAGGGAAAGUUAAAAAUAACUUUGGAGCGAGAGUUCAACAGGGGGUGAAACCGUUGAGGGUCAACAGGCAUUUCCACUGCGCUGCGACCAGGUCUCAACAGGACCUGUGCAAAGGUGGCUCGCGUCUCCGGCCACAUCAUAAAGGCUCGCUGUGCCCCCUCUCCCUGCCGGGGAGGGACGGGCUCCCGGCGCAACUGUUGACUGGGGCAGCCAGUCCUCGGUGCGCCCGUAAGUCAGCAAGACGGCCGACCCGUCUUAAAACACAGUCCAAGGGUUAGUCUACUGCCCGUGAGUCAGCGGGUGCAAUAAAACCCUGUGGCGCAAUGGAAGUGAAGGCCGGCACGCGCCGGCUGAGUUGAGACGCCGGCCCUUUGGGGUCACCGCCCCAGCUGUUUCCCUCAGGAUGGCUGCCGUUCAGCGUCUGUCGCAGUUUUAUCUGGUGAAGCCAAUGAUUAGAGGUCUUGGGGCCAAAACAAUCACAAGCUGGGUAAGAACGUGAGCCGCCGACUGGACCACUUUCUGCGAGAUGAAUGGAACAUCCUACGCCGACACUCAUCAAACCCUGGAAAAGUUGUUGGCCAAUACAGACCGCUGUAGAGUGGCCAUGCAAGUCGGAAUCUGCUGAGGAGUGAGUAACAUCUGCCGAAUGCGCUAUCCCUGGAAAUGGACGCGGCUGGAGCGCCAGUCCCAUUGUGAACAACAGGUUAGGUUCAGAUCCCCGGACCUAGCGUGGCGGAGACGGGCGCCAGAGCCUGUUCUACCAGGUGAACAGGCUCUGGCUUGUGAAAUGCAGAUAAAGUUACUUAAAUCAGAUCUUGAGCCAUUCAACCUCAGGUGUGCGGGCGGCAGCCUGUUGUGGUUGCUCUAUGGUCGCACACUUUUCUUUUGCUGUGUAUUGGUUUCGUAUAUACGUUGUUUAUUUUAGGCUGCGUUAAAAACAUCUGGCUGGGGACAGCAGAUGGACAUGAGCCACUCUGGCUCACCUGCAGUACACCUGUUGAUAAGUGUGCGUU